rnacentral:rRNA from 1 species
UUCCGGUUGAUCCUGCCGGACCCGACUGCUAUCUGGGUGAGAAUAAGCCAUGCGAGUUGAAUGGGAUACCUAAAGUUCCCAUAGCAAACUGCUCAGUAACACAUGAUCAACUUACCCUAUAGAGAAAAAUAACCUCGGGAAACUGAGGAUAAUGUUUCAUAAUUGAAUUGGCUUGGAAAAGUUUUUCAAUGAAAGGGAUAAAAAAAAUGGUUUUUAUCUGCUAUAGGAUAGGAUCGUGUUCGAUUAUGGUUGUUGGUGAGAUAAUGGCUCACCAAGCCGAUAAUCGAUAGGGGCCGUGAGAGCGGGAGCCCCGAGAUGGGUACUGAGACAACGACCCAGGCCUUACGAGGCGCAGCAGGCGCGGAACCUCCGCAAUACACGAAAGUGUGACGGGGUUACCCAAAGUGUUCAAUAGAACUGUGGUAGGUGAGUAAUGUCCCCUACUAGAAAGGAGAGGGCAAGGCUGGUGCCAGCCGCCGCGGUAAAACCAGCUCUUCAAGUGGUCGGGAUAAUUAUUGGGCUUAAAGUGUCCGUAGCCGGUUUAGUAAGUUCCUGGUAAAAUCGGGUAGCUUAACUAUCUGCAUGCUAGGAAUACUGCUAUACUAGAGGGCGGGAGAGGUCUGAGGUACUACAGGGGUAGGGGUGAAAUCUUAUAAUCCUUGUAGGACCACCAGUGGCGAAGGCGUCAGACUGGAACGCGCCUGACGGUGAGGGACGAAAGCCAGGGGAGCGAACCGGAUUAGAUACCCGGGUAGUCCUGGCCGUAAACGAUGCAUACUAUGUGAUGGUACGGCCAUGAGCCGUAUCAGUGCCGUAGGGAAACCGUUAAGUGUGCCGCCUGGGAAGUACGGUCGCAAGGCUAAAACUUAAAGGAAUUGGCGGGGGAGCACCACAAGAGGUGAAGCCUGCGGUUCAAUUGGAUUCAACGCCGGGAAUCACUAGUGCGGCCG